rnacentral:rRNA from 1 species
UGCCAGCCGCCGCGGUAAGACGGAGGGCGCAAGCGUCGUUCGGAAUCAUUGGGCGUAAAGCGUGUGCAGGCGGUGAAGUAAGUUAAAUGUGAAAUCCCAGGGCCCAACCCUGGAACUGCAUUCGAAACUGCUUCACUAGAGUCCCGGAGGGGAAGGCGGAAUUCCCGGUGUAGAGGUGAAAUUCGUAGAUAUCGGGAGGAAUACCAGUGGCGAAGGCGCUGGCCUGGACGAGGACUGACGCUGAGGUGCGAAAGCGUGGGGAGCAAACAGGAUUAGAUA